rnacentral:lncRNA from 1 species
ACUAGUAAGGAGUAAAUUCGCAACAAUAUAUUCACUGCUGCUGCUGCCAGUGCACAACCACACACACGACCUAAAGGGUUUUUUCCAAUUUUGUACCACAAAUUAACUGAACGCGGAUCAACCGUUGAAAAGCUGGCAAGACGUUGUGUCGUAGCAAAUGAAAUGGACUGUGAUCAGGUCUAAUAUAAAACAAUAUACCCACAUUAUUUGCGUUUUAACAAUAGUGAUAACCACAACACAGCCUUGAUUGGUUUACAGCAGCAGCAGGGUUUUUUAUGUACUUUUUGAUUACACUCAACACUUUCUACUUUGCUUGUGGUAGCCAUUUGAGUAUACAUAUUUUUACUUUUAGCGCUACCACUGUAAAUUUUUGAUUGGGGUUUUAUGCUUUGUGCCAGCUGGAGUGCAGCAGACAUUCGAGACAAAAAGUAAAUAAAUUUAUAGAAUAAACUGUUUCAUUUUCUAGACUGUAAUCACAACUUUUUUGUAUAAUUUAAUAAUUUGGGAGUUACUCAGUCAGCCAUAUAAAACCGUUGAAAUGUUGUUGGAACGCAAUAGAAAUAACUCAGUGCGUCUUUCUGGUGUGCUGAACACAAUGACAGCGACAGACUGCAAACGACAUUUGUCAACACACAGUUAUAUUGACAGCUGCACAACUACACAACUGCAGGCCAACAGUUGUCGCUCUCGCUAACUUCAAUAUAUUCUACUAUUUGCCAACGACAGUAGAGUUGACAGUAGAGUUAAAG